AAACAGCAAUAAAUAGCGGAAAAGAAACUAACACGGAUUCCCCUAGUAACUGCGAGUGAAGCGGGAAAAGCUCAAAUUUAAAAUCUGGCGGUCUUUGAUUGUCCGAGUUGUAAUCUGGAGAAGCGUUUUCUGCGCUGGACCGUGUACAAGUCUCUUGGAACAGAGCGUCAUAGAGGGUGAGAAUCCCGUCUUUGACACGGACUACCAGUGCUUUGUGACGCUCUCUCAAAGAGUCGAGUUGUUUGGGAAUGCAGCUCAAAAUGGGUGGUAAAUUCCAUCUAAAGCUAAAUAUUGGCGAGAGACCGAUAGCGAACAAGUACCGUGAGGGAAAGAUGAAAAGCACUUUGGAAAGAGAGUUAAACAGUACGUGAAAUUGCUGAAAGGGAAACGCUUGAAGUCAGUCGCGUCUGCUAGUACUCAGCCUUCCUUCUGGUUGGUGCAUUUACUAGUUGACGGGCCAGCAUCAGUUUUGGUUGCGGGAUAAAGGUCAGAGGAAUGUGGCACCUUCGGGUGUGUUAUAGCCUCUGGUCAUAUACYGUGGCUGGGACUGAGGAUCUCAGCACGCCUUUAUGGCGGGGGUUCGCCCACCUUCGUGCUUAGGAUGCUGGCGUAAUGGCUUUAAACGACCCGUCUUGAAACACGGACCAAGGAGUCUAACAUGCCUGCGAGUGUUUGGGUGGUAAACCCGAGCGCGUAAUGAAAGUAAUAGUUGGGAUCCCUGUCGUGGGGAGCACCGACGCCCGGACCAGACCUUCUGUGACGGAUCCGCGGUAGAGCAUGUAUGUUGGGACCCGAAAGAUGGUGAACUAUGCCUGAAUAGGGUGAAGCCAGAGGAAACUCUGGUGGAGGCUCGUAGCGAUUCUGACGUGCAAAUCGAUCGUCAAAUUUGG
rnacentral:rRNA from 1 species